rnacentral:tRNA from 23 species
GUGCCCGUAGCUCAGCUGGAUAGAGCGCUAGACUGCGGAUCUGGAGGCCGGGCGUUCAAAUCGCCCCGGGCACGCCA